CCCUCUCUAGUAAAAUAGACACACCAAUACCCGGAAUAAAGAUACACACAGCGACAUGGAAGUUAAUUAAAUAUGUAAUCAUUUAUUUAUUAUUGAUAAUUAAAAAACUACGUUUUUUGAUCCUGAGGAAGGCAAAAAACCUCUGAGAAACUAGAGGAAAAAAUUCCUUCCUGACUCCUUAAUGGCAAUCGGAUUUGCUCCCAGGAUCAACGCGUCAUAUUUAAUUGAGGGAAAUAGGGUAAGGAAAACAGAAAGGAAUAUGGCAACAUACACAUGAGCACCUUUUAGGCAGCUAGGUCAACACUGCAUUCUGUUCCAUUCCAUUGGAAACCACACAGCCUGCAGACCCGGCUUCUACAGUCUGAGGGAUGGAGUGAAAAAGAAUGCAGGGUCUACCGAGUGGCUUAAGGGGGCUUCUGUCUAUGAAACCAUAUUUUAUAUGGAAAGGUUAGGCAAAGCUGGUGUAACUGAUUUAAGGGGGGGAGGUCACCGAUGGUGGUAUUAGGGUGGAAGGAAAAAAAAUAAAAAGCAAUAUGGCAGCAUACACAUGAGCAUCAUUAAGCUGCUUGGUGAAUGCUGCAUUCUAUUCCAUUCCAUUAAACCCCAGGCAGCCCACAGACCCCGGCGUCUGCACACUGAGGGAUGGAGUGAAAAGUAAUGUAGUGUCUACCGAUUGGCUUAAUGGUGUUCCAGUUUAUGAUACCAUAUUUUAUAUGGAAAGGGAAGGCAACUCUGGUGUAACUAUUAUUGAAAGGGGGUGGUCACCACUGGUGGUAUUAUGGAGGAAGGAUAAGAUAUAGAAAGCAACAUGGUAGCAUACACGUGAGCAUCAUUAAGCUGCUUGGUGAAUGCUGCAUUCUAUUCCAUUCCAUUAAACCCCAGGCAGCCCACAGACCCCGGCGUCUGCACACUGAGGGAUGGAGUGAAAAGGAAUGCUGGGUCUACCGAGUGGCUUAAGUGCGCUCCUGAUUAUGAUACCAUAUUUUAGUUUGAAGUGGGGGAGCACCGCUGGGGGAGCUAUGGUGGUAAAAGGAGGGUCAACUCUGGUGGAGCUGUGGUGGAAGGAGGAGGGGCACCGCUGGUGGAGGUGGAAGAAGGAGGGGCACUGCUGGUUGAGCUGUGGUGCAAGUGGGGGCCGGUCCUACUGCAGAGGAAGGAAGGGAAAUACAAAUCAAGAUCUCACGCUGGUGAUUUUGGCAUUGCAGGUUGAUCCUGGAGCUCUACAUUGCGGUGUAAUCGAAGUUCCUAAAGGCUUCCGCAAUCUCCUUUUCCAUUGCCAAGGAACCCUCAGAGGGAGGAGUUAGAACUAGAUGUUGAUCUCCAUCCUUGGAAAGUCUAACAUCCUCAGCAUCUCGUAUAUUACAAUGCCCAGAGACCACCAGUCGACAGAUCUUGAGUAUGGCUCCCUGGCGAGGACUUCUGGAGCCAUGUAGCCAAAAGAUCCUUUCAGGCUACUUGUUCGGCCUUCGUAGCCAAUUCCUGAAAAAAACAGUUAUUGUAACUCUUUAAGCAGCCGCCAGCAACGUACUCCAUCAGAAAGAAUAGAUGGUAUUCUGACUGGAAGGUGGCGUGGAUAUCCACAAUGAAAGGGUGGUCAGCAACGGCGAAAGCAACCCGUUUCUCUAGCAAGAUCCUGAAUAUUAAAAGCAUUCAUUGUCAAAACAAGGGACAUGGGUAAGUAACAAAGCCAACCAUGCUAAAAUGAUCAUUUCCAUAAACUGACCUUUCAAUGCCCCUUGAGGAGGUGAUGCUCUCCUUUUUCAAGAUUUUCAGGGCAUAGGAUCUUUUGGUUGCCGCGUGUUCAACAAGGAGAACCUGGAAUAAGAGAGAAUCUCAGGAAAUGCAGGAAGAUACAUGCAGAACAUCCAUACCCCUUUCAGAGAACUGCAAGAAUCGAUCCAUACUUGCCCCCAGCAUUGCAAGGUUGCAUCUUACUGUGGGUCCUUUGUCACUGCCAGUGGACAUCCUUCUGCUGCAUCAGGUGGAGUUGGGCUGAUGUUUUCUUCAUCCACAGAUCUCUCACUAUAAGGAAAAGUAAGUUUGUUAUUUUGCGUUUCUUUUUACCCUUAGCCGAUUCAUUCUCCAUAAUCCUCAAUAGCACAGCACCCCAUAGCCAUAAUUCAUAGGUGGCUUUGUGCUACUGAAUUAUGUAUUGUGUAAUCUCCCAGCCAAAGUGCAGGUGCAUAUGACCAUCUGUCCUCUUCUGUGCCAAUCUAAUACUUUACUUUAAUAAGAAGAAUAAUCCCGUUAUUGUGAAGAUUUUAUUUGAUGAAAGUAUGGGGUAGGGAUUUAAUCUGGUCUCUAAUAAACUCCACAAUAUCCUCACCUCUCCGAUGGCUCUUCAGGCACCUCGUCUACCUCUGGCACUGGUUCUUCAGUGGAUUCAUCAUGUUGAUGCUGCAAACAAGGGACAAUUGUGCAAUGAAUGAAUGUGGCAAAAAAGCAAUGUUUAUGUUCUGGCCAAGAAAUGAAUGGCAUCAGUAUAAAAUACUCACUUGGAAAGGAUCACUGGCAGGUUCUGAAACAACCUGAACCUCAGGUGCGCUGACCUCUUCUGCUGGGAGGUUUACACCAGUGUCACUAGCAGUCUCCACUGCUGCAUCUAAAGAGACAGUAAAUAAACAUAGUGAAUGAAUUUUCAAAUAUAAAAACUUUCUUGAACCUAAGGCUUAAGGAUGUUUUUUGAUUUGGUAAGAUGCUAUUAAUAAUCAGUGGUUUGAAAAGUACAUGCAAAAGCCAUAAAAUUCAUCUAUAGUUCUGUGGGGCUUAGUUUAAUGUCCAUGAAGGGGUAGUGGAUGGGAUGUUAGGAUGACACACGUUACUCCAUAUAAUGCCAAUAGAAAAGAGGCUAGAGCCGCCUGUUGUGACUCACCUCGAACAUGCUCUGCUUCCCUCCGAACUAUCUCUUCAUUGAGCUUGAGGAGAGAGGAGUAAAGGGCUUUCAGCCUCUUCUUACUGCUCUUCCUCAGCUCCUUCAUCAGGGCUCUGGUCUUUCUGUCCUUGGUGGCAUGGUACAGAUUUUCGGCCCCUGCUGCUAUCUUCAUCUCUUUCUGGAUGACUCUCACCAGCUCCUGCUUCAUUUCUGAAAGAGAGACACCUACCUGGGGCUCACAAGCAUCAAGAGACUGUUUGAUGUCGACAGUCUAUAGAGAAUGGGAAACAAUUAAGAAACAAUGGUUAAGUGCUUGCAAAUGAUAUUGAAUAUUGAACAAUGAUGUCACCCAUUCCAAUUAGAAGAAAAGAGUUUCCUCCUAAUUUUUUGGAAGGGUUUUUUUUACAGUCAAAUUCUCUCCCUGAAUCAGUGGUACAGGCUGAUACAUUAGAUAGCUUUAAAGGAGAUGGAAAGUUAAAAAAAAUAACCUCCCUCUUUCUCUUUGCCAUUAUCCCCCCUCCUGAAACGCUGCAUUGAAAAUUGCAAUGGCCUUACAGUUUUGUGCACUUCCAUUCCAAAAUUUUUCUAUAGUGUAAGCUUUGGCGAGACCAUUUUCAAAUUGCCUCCCUGCGCUUUGUCUCUAGUACGCAAGCGUCUCUUCCGUGACCCUGUGGUGUAACCAAACAAGCGCGCAUAUGUCGAUACACAGUGAUAAGCAUUGGUGUCGCAUCUAUAGUGCAUAUUCUUUGAAUAAGCCUGUAAGUGCCACAAUAUGUUUUACAGACCUGAACGCUGGGUAUAUUUGCGUGUCCUCUGUUCCUAUGCUCGCUUCAAAGCUUCGCUUUGUUACCAGGCAAAGGGGAACAUCAAUCAAGGUGGAGUAAAUGCAGGCAGGCAGAGAGAGAGAGUUUAGGGAUGACGAAUGGGCAGAUCACGUGACCCAAAGUCAUCUCUUCUCAGGAAGACGGGAGAUCAUAGUGCGAUUGCGCAGGGCUACUCUUAGACGGAUUGCGCAUGCGUGUGCCCUGAUUGGAAGGAUUUAUGGACUGGAGCAAAGACAUCCGUUUCUGUGCAGCUUGCCACUUAUUUGAAAAACGAUUACAGCGCAAGAAUGAACGAAAAACGGAAUGAAGAAAUGCUUGCUGGUCUCUAAUCGUCAGGCAUAAAGCGACAGCUUGAUAUUUCCAUCUGCCUUACCUCAGAAUGCCGGUGCCGACGCAAGAUGUUAGAAUGUCCGGCACCCAUCUUGACACUCCUGUAUGAGAAAAAAAAGCCUCCUUUGCCCUUUUUGAGAUAUGCAGCAUCCUGCUGUCCAUCUUUAAGAUUGGCCACGUCGUGUUACUGCUGCACUGCCAAUUUCCAAUGGAUAUCAUCUACAACUGCAUGGAAAUACUAUUUGUCAGUGUCCAGACUGUUCUGCUAUGGAUUUCCUGCAAGGAUUGUAUUCAGGUGCAGCACAAUGUUACCAGGUACGGCAUCAUGUUGACACUAGCCACAGAUAUGCUGCUGUGUCUUACAGCUGUAAUUGAUGAUUCUCUGGAGCAAGAUCUGGCGAGCUUACAAGGAAACGCAACACAAGGCAACUGUGGUUUAUCCAUUAUCAAGACUCCUAAAAAAUGAUUUGGACACUGAAACUCUGGUUCUACUGGACCCACAUUCAAUAUGGUCUCCUUUGUUGCCAAAGUCUUAACAGCGAUUGAGGCACUGCACACCAGAAGUCUACCAAACUGGAAUUUGUUUCCGAUUUUUUCAUUUCCUUUAGGGAUGCACGGAAUCCAGGAUUCGGUUCGGGAUUCGGCCAGGAUUCGCCCUUUUACAGCAGGAUUCGGCUGAGAACUUGUGCCUGGUCAAACAAAUCAGAAUGCUCAUUUGCAUAUUUAAACUAGGGACGGGAAGGAAAAUCACUUGGCUUUUCAUCACAAAACAAAUCACAAAAUUAGAAAAUGAAUACUACAAAUUUAAGUGCAGCAAUCUUACAAUGAUUGAAUAUUGCAAGCAAGAUUAAAGAUGUUUGUGCAGCACCCACUAGCAGAGGGACUUUAAUCCCAGAAUCCAUCACUUCAAAAUGGAACAAGUAUAAGGGAUUCCAGGGGACUCUUAGGACGUUUGCGCAUUUGAUGCCUGCAUCAAGGUGCUUUGUGGCCCCCGGAAUUUGCUUGUUGUUCACCCCCAAUGUUCUCUAAUACUGUGUCUAUGCAGAGUGCCGUCUUUCCUUUGGUUUGGUGUGUGACAAGUGGUGGGGACGCUGCAGCCAGAGCACCCAGCAAGGAAUACACGGAGCAGUGCAGGAGGGGUUCUUCUGUCAAAUAAGAGAGGCUGAAAACUUGACGUGUCCCUUUUCUACUAACUAAAACCUGCCUAACUGCUUGGUGAUGAAGACGAAUCAGCCCACCUGAAGCCUCUCCAAUUCACCUUAGAGGAGAUUACAUUAUGUGUUAUUACUACCCCCCCCCCCCCAUUGUCACCUCUGGCUUUGAAUCAAGACCUACUCUGCUCAGGUGCAACCUGGGCCUUUACACGUGGAAUUGGGCGCACAGCAUUCUGAUUAAAACGUUACAAUCCAACAAAAAGGAAUGCUGUUCUUUUGGUAUCAGCACUAGAAUCCAUGACAGUUACUCGAUCUUAAAGGAACUUAAUCUCAACAUUGAUUCAGAUGUCAUUGAAAGUCUUCAGGAAUUUUCCUGUAUGAGCAACAGCAAGCAGGACCAUCCUUCGUCAUCAUGACCUGGAGCAGUGUGUCGCUGGCCCUAUCAUUGGGUAGCGCGAAAAACUGAACCACCGAAAAAACUGAAGUCCCCAAUUGCCGAAGUCACAAAAAGAGCUGAACUACAGAAGCCGCGAAGAGACUCGAAGUCACGAAAGAGCUGAACUUGAAGUCCUGAAGCAGCGGAAAGUCCCAAAGUCACUAAAGAGCCAAACUUGGAGGUCCCGAAGCCACGAGUUCAGUUCUAUUGGACACCAAUCUUUUUGAUGCGUGUAUGUACCAGCAGGUGCACUGAGCAUUCAGCCUUCAUACCAUGAUGAUGAAUGGUGGGAGAAUGCAAAGAAUACCUAUUAUAAACAAACUCUCCGGGCCAGUGUGAUAAUGCUUGGUGGAGCAGCCAUACCUGCAGUAGGACUGGUGUCACUCACAGGUUGAUCCUGGAGCUCUACAUUGCGGUAUAAUCGAAGUCCCCAAAGGCUUCCGCAAUCUCCUUUUCCAUGGCCAAGGAACCCUCGGAGGGAGGAGUUAGAACUAGAUGUUGAUCUUUAUCCUCGGAAAGUCUAACAUCCUCAGCAUUUCGUAUAUUACAAUGCCCAGAGACCACCAGUCGACAGAUCUUGAGUAUGGCUCCCUGGCGAGGACUUCUGGAGCCAUGUAGCCAAAAGAUCCUUUUAGGCUACUUGUUCGCCCUUCGUAGCCAAUUCCUGAAAAAAACAGUUAUUAUAAACAAGGAGCCAGACCCUGUAUACUACUUACUGUAUGAAUGGCACCCGCAUGACUCUAGGUAAAGGUUAAUUUGUACUUACAUAGCUCUUGGUUGUUCAAAUGCACUUUCCCUCUGCAAGUAGCUCUUUAAGCAGCCGCCAGCAACGUACUCCAUCAGAAAGAAUAGAUGGUAUUCUGACUGGAACGUGGCGUGGAUAUCCACAACGAAAGGGUGGUCAGCAACGGCGAAAGCAACCCGUUUCUCUAGCAAGAUCCUGAAUAUUAAAAGCAUUCAUUGUCAGAACAAGGGACAUGGAUUUUCAGGGCAUAGGAUCUUUUGGUUGCCGCGUGUUCAACAAGGAGAACCUGGAAUAAGAGAGAAUCUCAGGAAAUGCAGGAAGAUACAUGCAGAACAUCCAUACCCCUUUCAGAGAACUGCAAGAAUCGAUCCAUACUUGCCCCCAGCAUUGCAAGGUUGCAUCUUACUGUGGGUCCUUUGUCACUUCCAGUGGACAUCCUUCUGCUGCAUCAGGUGGAGUUGGGCUGAUGUUUUCUUCAUCCACAGAUAUCUCACUAUAAGGAAAAGUCUCUAAUCGUCAGGCAUGAAGCGACAGCUUGAUAUUUCCAUCUGCCUUACCUCAGAAUGCCGGUGCCGACGCAAGAUGCCAGAAUGUCCGGCACCCAUCUUGACGCUCCUGUAUGAGAAAAAAAAAGGUUGGUGUAAGUGGCUGCUUCAGUGGAGAUAAAGAAUACAACUGUUUGUAGCUGCUGGUAAACUACAAGCUCAAGACAAGCACCUCUCUGUAACGUCACUGCUACACAUCUGAGCAGAAAGUCACAUUUUCCCCAUAAUCCUCGGCGACAAAGAAGAAGGGCAAAGAAAUCAAAGCAGCCCAGAUGUAAACCGAUGCCAUACUGAAAACGCUGGAUGUCCAAACUUACUAACUCCUUUCUAUAGGCGGUUCAGUGUUUCAGUUGAUAAGGGAUUCCAGGGGACUCUUAGGACGUUUGCGCAUUUGACGCCUGCAUCAAGGUGCCUUUUGGCCCCCGGAAUUUGCUUGAUGUUCACCCCCAAUGUUCUCUUAUACUGUGUCUAUGCAGAGUGCCGUCUUUCCUUUGGUUUGGUGUGUGACAAGUGGUGGGGACGCUGCAGCCAGAGCACCCAGCAAGGAAUACACGGAGCAGUGCAGGAGGGGUUCUUCUGUCAAAUAAGAGGGGCUGAAAACUUGAUGUCCCUUUUCUACUAACUAAAACCUGCCUAACUGCUUGGUGAUGAAGACGAUGAGCCCACCUGAAGCCUCUCCAAUUCACCUUAGAGGAGGAGAUAAAUCCCUUCUUGACAUUAAAGGUGGCAAUUUGACCAUU